AUGCCAACAUAUCCCAUAGCAUCAUUCAAACUUGUCCCUACCUUCGAAACGCUCAAAACAUCAUUAAAACAGCAAAUGUGCAUCUAAGUCAAGCCUAAGAAAUUCCAAAAUCUUCCGAAUUACGCUUUUGAUAGAAAACCCAACCAAACCAUGUCCGAAUGGCCUGAAACUUUGAACACACAUAACAAAUGAUACAACGGAACUGCUGCAACUCUCGUAAUUCCGUUCCGACCCCUAUAUAAAUAUCUCACCUAUCAACCGGAAAUUACCAAAAUCUCAAUUUUGCCAAUUCAAGCCUAAAUCUUCCACGGACCUCCAAAAUGCAUUCCGAUCACGCUCUUAAGUCCC
rnacentral:lncRNA from 1 species